rnacentral:misc_RNA from 1 species
UAGGACCUUAAAGCACUGUUUAUUGCUAAAAGUAGAAGGAUUUGUCUCACAAAAGAACUAAAAAUCAUCAACAUGAUUGCCAGCCCCAUACUGAGAAAUAAGACGACCUGACUGGAAAGGUGGACAAGGAAUUCAUAAUUUUGCAUUAGCAACAAGCAGCAAACGAGUAUUGUACUCUACCAAAUACAACAAUGGAACUCAAUUUACUUUACGAACAAGUACAGGAGAGGAGAGAAUGAACAAUUCCCUCUGAGCUUCUAAUCAGUCUGUAAGGUGACAACUACGUUCUCAUAGUUCAGACGUGGUUACUGAGGCUACAAUACCAACAAAAGCAUAAAAAUUUAAACAUGUAAAAUUUAAACAUGUAACUGGCUGUCAGGAAUCAACACUCGAUGAAAAUCCAAAGUCAUUUGCAAAACAACUGUUCCAUGCAGUCAAAAGUAGGUGACUAGGCUAAUCCAUCUGCUGUCACUGUGCCCUAAGCAACACAACCUCCGCACAUGAUGCUCCUGCAAUUCAUAAAGGCUCUUAUCAAAAUAUGAAAUUAAAAGGGUGGAGGUGGUGGAACUUGCAUCAAAAGUAAAACUUGCAGCCACAUUAUCCUGUGAUGGGUACUCUAAUGAUGGAGGUACUCUAAUGAUGGAGGUAUUACCAUAACACCACAAUGAACAUCAUAGUUCACCUGAAAAACAAGUCAGUAACAUAUUGAAGUGUAUUGGAUUGCAACCUCCCACUAGUCUAGUCUUCAAUAUCAGAUUAGGUGCCUAAGUAUUAUAGCAAGAUGAGGGGAGUGGAUGAGUAAGGAAGAAAACAGGAAAAAAAUGAUAACUUUAAAUUGGGCAAAGCUCCAUCUCACCUAUGAUUCAACCUUUCAGCUUCUCUCUCUGUCUCAUCCUAAAGUUGGCUAUGGUUUAAAUCAUGGGGAGGACCAUUACUAAUAUUGUACAGGAUCCCACUGGCUUGGGAUUUGUUGUAAAAUUAUCAAUCAUGAUAUCCAUAAGAGUUCAGUUUCAUUUCACAAGUAGAACAUACUCAAGCUUCGGAAGAGUGAUGUGAAAACCAAUUCAAAAGCAAAUAUGCGACUGCUAAAAGCAAAUGCUCAGCCACUAGCUGAUUCUACUUUUAACAGACAACAGAUACGUGCUUGAGUGAUGUGAAAAAUAUCAACUUAGAAAUACGAGAAUAAAGUACUAACACAAUUGCAUGACCAGCACUGCGGCGCCUUUUCUUCCUUGCCAUCUCUUUCCUCCUUGGAGGUUGAAGGACAACCUUGAUUGCAGUAUCAAAAAUAGCUUUGACAUUCUGUUGAGUCUUGGAGCUACAUUCAAUAUAUGCUGCUGCACCAAUCUGUUUCCUCAGCUCCUCUCCUUGUGCAGAUGUUAUAACAUUAGAACUCAUAUGAUCAGCUAGAUAUCCCCUGUCUUCACGAAGAUCUAUUAACAUAAUGGAAUAUAAGUUCGUUUAGUGUACAACACUGUCAAUAUAGAUACAUCAAUGAGAACUACAACACUUCUAAGUUGCCAAAUACAUUACCUAAUUUUGUACCAACAAGAACAAUUGGAACAUUUGGCGCAAACCGACGCAGUUCAGGCAUCCACUGAGAAAAUCAGAAUGAAAAAGCAAAAAAGGAAAAAAAUUAGUUGCUGAUGUAUGAACUAUGAACCAUCUAACAUAUAAAUUCAGAAAUAGAAGCUCUCUACUUGAAGAAAACAACCCAGUUUACAUAACUUCAAUACAAGAAAAUGAAAUGCCAAAUGAACUGACUAUAUAGGGCUUUAAUUUGAAAUAGACAAUAUGAGAUACUUUUUUAAUUAUGAUCUGAAAAUAGGCAUUAAGCAAGGAAAGUGAAAGGAGAUAAAAGGGAAAAGUUGUGCAGAACAGAAAAAUUUAAAGUGGGAAAAGACAUCAGCAUUGAAGUCUGUACCUUCUUAAGAACAUUUUCAUAACUUGCCCUACUAAUUAAUGAGAAAGCCAAAACAAAAAUAUCUGCACCUCUGUAACUCAGUGGCCUCAAUCUGCUAUAAUCCUCCUGCCCUGCAGUAUCCCAUAGUCCCAAAUUGACAAUGUUCCCAUCCACAGCCACAUUAGCACUGAAAUUGUCAAAUACUGUGGGUAUAUAAUCAGUUGGGAACUUGUUGCUGGUAUAACAAAUAAGCAUACAGGUCUUGCCAACAGCUCCAUCCCCAACUGUAACACAUUUAAUGAACUUUGAAGCACUCAUCCUCUAAAAAAAACCCACUACUUCUGCAGAAGAUUGUUUCUUUAGCUAAAGCAAGACAAGUAAGACUAUAUUAGAACUCCCCCAAAAAGUCAAGAGAAAAAGAAGAUGCUUGGAAGGAAAAAGGUCGAACAUAACAAGUUAAAGAGAACAAUGAGUCCAGUGCGUCUGCAUGUGUGGAAGUAAUGGCGAGGGUUG